rnacentral:rRNA from 1 species
UGAGGAAUAUUGGUCAAUGGAGCCAAUUUGAACCAGCCACGUAGCCUGAAGGAAGACGGCCCUACGGGUUGUAAAAUUCUUUUUAAGGGAAUAAAUGAUCCACGUGUGGCUAAUGACAGACUUACGAGAGGCUGGUCCCAC